AUUUGUGUUCUUAAAAAAGAAAAAAAAAUGAAUAUUUCUGUAGCCCUAUUUUUUAUGGAUGAUGAGGAGGAGGUUCAAAUUGUGCCACGGAGGCAUUUAAGAGAUGCUUCGAAUUUAUUUGAAGUACCUAACAACCAGUUUGUGUCUUCCAGUGGUCUUCAUGGGAUUGCCUGCUGCUUCCAAAAAUUGGCACUCCUCUGGCGAACUUAGGAUUCUCCCCCAUAUACUCAACUAGUGCCCGCAGCUGUGUAGUUUUUUCGUGCUGGAAUUGAGAAAAUAAAAAAAUAUAUAUUUGUUGUUCACAGAUUAAA